UACAGAGGGGGCAAGCGUUAUUCGGAAUUAUUGGGCGUAAAGGGCGCGUAGGCGGCCUUGCAAGUGACGGGUGAAAUCCCUCGGCUUAACCGAGGAACUGCCUGUCAAACUGCAUGGCUUGAGACCGGGAGAGGUGAGUGGAAUUCCCAGUGUAGCGGUGAAAUGCGUAGAGAUCAGCAGGAACACCCGUGGCGAAGGCGGCUUCCUGGGCCGCGCCUGACGCUGAGACGCGAAAGCGUGGGGAGCGAACGGG
rnacentral:rRNA from 1 species